rnacentral:rRNA from 1 species
ACAAGAUGGAGGAAGGUGGGGAUGGACGUCAAGGUCAUCAUGGCCCUUAUGUCCAGGGCGACACACGUGCUACAAUGGCCGGCACAACGGGAAGCGAGUUCGCGAGGACGAGCGGAUCCCUCAAAGACCGGUCGCAGUUCGGAUUGAAGUCUGCAACUCCGACUUCAUGAAGCUGGAAUCGCUAGUAAUCGUGGAUCAGCCAAGCCGCGGUGAAUACGUUCCCGGGCCUU